GUGUAGAUAAAGUCUUGUAUGCAACUGUUGAUAAUUAGGUAUUAAAACACUCAUGUGAAACCAUCAUCGCCCACAUUCGUGUUUUAAUACCCCUGAUAACACAACAGUUGUAUAAAUAACUAUUACUUCAUCAGAAGUUUUUAGUACAAUUUGUAUGACGAAAAAUUGUUUUAAUAUAAUUAUUAUUUUAUCACGGGUGCAUUUAAAAUAUCGAUUACCAUGCCCAGUUAUUGACAUUUAUAACUGAAUCCUGACAAGCCUCGUGGUGACAAGUGGGACUAUUGCUGGCACUGCUAAAUAAGUAUUAGGAAAAUUAUUCAGUGUUUCGUUAUUAAAUAAAAAAAAAUAACUGACGUUCACUUUAAUCUUUACUAUUCGGUGGAUGAGGUAUAUGUUUGUUUAAUUGGCACUUAAGUUAACAAUAUGAUAAAUUUUUCAAAAAAUGACUGAAUUUAAUUGGAUAACAAAGUAAUUAACUAGGUAAUUCUCAUUCACGAUACAAAAUAACUUGUUUUGCAGAAAUUACUGGAAAUUAAAGAGAAAUUUUUACUUACUAUAUUUUUUAUACAAUACAAUUUUAAAUAUAUUAUUGUAUAAAUAAUAGUUUAAUUUAUGGAUUACGCUGCUAUAGAAGUCCCAUUGUAAAUUUUAAUAUCAAUUAGAUACAAUUGAAAAACUAUUGAAUUUAAAAUAAUACAACCAUUAAGUUUCAGUCCUUAUUUUUGAAUGUUAAUUAAAUAUUGGUUAUUAAAAUACCCAAUAGAAAAUGAUGUACAUAUAAAUAUAAUCAUAGAAUUAGAAGAAAUUAAAUAUAUUAUUGUUAUUAAUUAAAUUUGUUAAAAAGAAUGUUUAAUAAACGAAUCUGUCCGGAAUAAAUUGUAACUAGUCAUUAAUUUUUAUUUUAAUAAUAUUACAUGAUAUAUUAUUGUAAUGCAAAUAAUUCUAUUACUAUUGAAUGUGUGAUAGCAUAAAAUGGAAAAAAAUAUACAUAACUAUAACUGUACAUAAUAUUAAUAAAUAUUAAUAGAAGUGGGAUAUAUAAUUUGUUAUUUUUAAGUGACUUCCUUUACUUCUGGGAUUAAAUACACAAGUUUUUGUGAAUUGAUCGCAAAUAUUUGCCUAUCUGUGGAUCGACCUCCAAUCCGCGUCGCAAUAACGAAAUGGUACAUUACGAUACAAGUGCGCAAAGUAGGUCGUUCCCGCACGAGCGUAGCGAGUGCAGGAUGAAAUACAUGCGCACGAGUAUCGUUUACUAUUUUUAAUAUUAAGUUACGCAAAGUUCGACCACUAUAAUUAUUUUCAAACAUUCCUGCACGCCCAACACAUUCCCGCACACUCAGCUACUUUCCCGCACUACUCUUGUCAACGUGUGGGAAAGUAGUACUUUGCAAAUGCAAAUGCAUGCGCAAAAUCGAACUUUGCGCACGGUAAUAGGAAAAGAUUCAAAUCAUCAUUGGGCUAUCUGUAGAUAUCCUUUAUCUCUUUAGACGUUCCGUUUAUAUCGUUUAUUUGUAACAGUUCAUUUUAAAAAUUAGCCCUACACGAGUGGGAUUAUUUCGGUAUUUCGGUAACUACUUUUUACUUCGAUGCAUUUAUUGGUCUCUGGAAAUUUAAUAUAGAUUAUAUUUUUAUCAAUUUAUAAUCGAUAAAUUCGAAAUUAUUUGCAGUGACAGUGAGCGAAAAUAUUAAAGGCACGGGAUCAUUGUAUCCAUAAAUUUUUGUAUAUAAAUUAGUUGUUGGAAAAUAUCGUUGUUUUUUGAUGAAAUAGAGUUAUUGUUUGUUAAAUAAUGUUUUAGUGCAUAGCAUUCAUAUAGACUGGCUGGAUUUUAAUAAAGUUUAUGUGAAAUAGAAACUCGGAGGAAAGUCAAUAUACGACGCUUCGAAGUCGAUUUGAUUGCAUGGGUUCAUUCUAUAGAAGGCUUCUACACAUCUAUUGUACAUUGAGUUAUAGCAAACUUUCUCUAUUUGACCAGCCCUAUAUCUGUUUUGAUGUCAAUUGGAGUCCUUAAUGUUCGGGACGUCAUUGUUAUAAUAAAAUUGAGGUUUAAUAAACGUGAUUAUUACAA